UUUUUGCGUUAGGGAUUGAGGCGGCAUCCUUUUGCUUUUUCUGCAAAAGAUAUAGCCGAAAGCCCGACCCUUG
rnacentral:sRNA from 1 species